AGAAAAAUCUGAACUGAUUCCAGCAUUUUCUGCUAACCGUAGAAGGGAAUCAGGCAUCCAGGAUGACAGCCACUAAAUACGAAGUAGCAGUGAAGCUGAAAAGAAAAAAUAACACUAUUCAAUAUUGUGUUUGCCUGAAGUUCUGGUGAAUAAGGCAGAAAGACCAGAAAACAAUCGUACUUAAAAAUAUGUCAGCUGAUUUGGAACCUUCGUCCAAUUCUCCCUUGUCCUGCAGUUCAGGAAAAAAAGACUAAUCAUUUGGAAAAUUGUCUUUUAUAUCCUAAAUUGGAGAAGGACACAUAUUCAGUGUCUUUGAAGAUCCUGUAUUAAUGAUUAAACCCUUGCAUGGCUCCGGUGUGUACAGCACCAUCUGGUUGCUUCCAAAAUGAGAAUGUUUCUUUUCUGGAAAUGCAGACAACACUGAUUAUUUUACUGGAAGGAACAAUUAACAAUCCUUGACCUUUUUAUUAUCUAAUGCCAGAAAUGCAGAAAAACCCACAAAUGGUGUAAUCAUUCAUGACACACAGGCUCCUGUCCAGCCGUUAGUACAUGCACUGUGCCCUGUGAUGGUUUCCAGCUGAAGAAAAAGCUCUGCAGGAGCUGUUCAAGGAUGAGCAAACAAACAGUUCUUGUGAGGUCAAAGAAAUCUUUAGCAAGAACCACCCAACAGCAGAAAAAAAGAUUGCAUUUCUUUUUGUUUAGCAACAAGUCUUUUUUUAUACAUGUAUAUGUGUUUUAUGAAAUAUGGAGCCACACAUUCAUAAACAAAGUAUUUUUGAAGGCUUUAGGUCUUAAGGGAACUGCUGGAUAUCCAGGGGAAGAGCAUCGAUCUGAAUAUAAAAUACAACAUGCUCAGGUUUCACGUUUCUUUUUUGUUUUGUUUUCCAUACAUGUAGUAAUGGUCAUUGUUAAUGUAAUUAUCUGUUGAUUUUAUUAGUUUUUUAAUUCUGAAUGAUGGUUGAUGACAUCUGUAAUAAAAGGCUAUCUGCA